rnacentral:rRNA from 1 species
UACGUAGGUGGCAAGCGUUAUCCGGAAUUAUUGGGCGUAAAGAGCGCGCAGGUGGUUGAUUAAGUCUGAUGUGAAAGCCCACGGCUUAACCGUGGAGGGUCAUUGGAAACUGGUCGACUUGAGUGCAGAAGAGGGUAGUGGAAUUCCAUGUGUAGCGGUGAAAUGCGUAGAGAUAUGGAGGAACACCAGUGGCGAAGGCGGCUUCCUGGUCUGUAACUGACACUGAGGCGCGAAAGCGUGGGGAGCAAACAGGAUUAGAUA